rnacentral:rRNA from 1 species
AGAGUUUGAUCAUGGCUCAGGACGAACGCUGGCGGCGUGCUUAACACAUGCAAGUCGAGCGGUAAGGCCCUUCGGGGUACACGAGCGGCGAACGGGUGAGUAACACGUGGGUAACCUGCCCUGUACUCUGGGAUAAGCCCGGGAAACUGGGUCUAAUACCGGAUAUGACUCUUGAAGGCAUCUUUGAGAGUGGAAAGUUCCGGCGGUAUGGGAUGGACCCGCGGCCUAUCAGCUUGUUGGUGGGGUAAUGGCCUACCAAGGCGACGACGGGUAGCCGGCCUGAGAGGGUGACCGGCCACACUGGGACUGAGACACGGCCCAGACUCCUACGGGAGGCAGCAGUGGGGAAUAUUGCACAAUGGGCGAAAGCCUGAUGCAGCGACGCCGCGUGAGGGAUGACGGCCUUCGGGUUGUAAACCUCUUUCAGCAGGGACGAAGCGCAAGUGACGGUACCUGCAGAAGAAGCACCGGCUAACUACGUGCCAGCAGCCGCGGUAAUACGUAGGGUGCGAGCGUUGUCCGGAAUUAUUGGGCGUAAAGAGCUCGUAGGCGGUUUGUCGCGUCGGCCGUGAAAACUUGGGGCUUAACCCCGAGCCUGCGGUCGAUACGGGCAGACUUGAGUUCGGCAGGGGAGACUGGAAUUCCUGGUGUAGCGGUGAAAUGCGCAGAUAUCAGGAGGAACACCGGUGGCGAAGGCGGGUCUCUGGGCCGAUACUGACGCUGAGGAGCGAAAGCGUGGGGAGCGAACAGGAUUAGAUACCCUGGUAGUCCACGCCGUAAACGGUGGGUGCUAGGUGUGGGGGACUUCCACGUUCUCCGUGCCGCAGCUAACGCAUUAAGCACCCCGCCUGGGGAGUACGGCCGCAAGGCUAAAACUCAAAGGAAUUGACGGGGCCCGCACAAGCGGCGGAGCAUGUGGAUUAAUUCGAUGCACGCGAGACUUACCUGGGCUUGACAUGGACUAGAAAUCCUCAGAGAUGAGGGCUCCCUUGGUGGCUGGU